AUAAUUUAAUUUGUGACGAGUUAUGGUUAGUGUUGAUUUUAAAAUCAAAUUUUAAUUUUCUGACACCUCCGUAAGGUCCGGUCCACCUCAAUUCCUCCCCAAGAAAAACACCGCCUCACGUGUGAAACUCACCCUUGACAUCAAAGUCACUUGCCGUGACUUCCACAAAGACUCCUCCACCCUCCGCCUCCACGGUCGCAACCUCCAACCCAACUAGCACGUCCCUGCCGGCUCCUUCCACACCCUCACCCUCACCCUCGAACCCCUCAAAGACUCCUCCAUCCCCCGACUCCACCGGCCUCCACCACGAUCCACACCAGAUCGUAUGGCACCAGCAUCAGUGUGUGCAUCACACCGGUCAAAUGCAGCGUCUGGAACGUGCGAACGUGCGUCGGCAUCACCGUGAUCGCCGUCCUAGGGUUUUUCACUCCGAAUAGCGCCCCUACUCUUUCUGCACUCUCUCGAUAUGCGGUGCGCCUUCAUCACCUCCCCGAGAUCCGAAUGCGGCCACGGCCGGAUUCGGAUACCGUGCCGCCCGACUACCACGAGUCUUGCGGUGCUCGCCAUCGCCGUCCGGUUCUUUGUUGGAGGAACGUCAUGCAGAGCUACGAUUUCUAAACCUCCGGAACGACGCGAUGUAGAGGCUUGUUGAGAAAAGGAAGAAGACGAGGCGCGAGAAGUGGAAGUCGAGAACCAAGCUAAUGAGACAGCAGACGCUGGAUUACCAGCCAGAAAAUCGCCGCCAGCAACUUCACUGCGUCGUCGCCGGACGAAUCCAACUACGCCAAUCCUCUAAAGUUGUUCGCCCAGCGCGAGAGAAUUGUAUGUAGUUCGUAGCAGAAUAGAUAGAGGUUUAAAUUUGAAGAGAAAGGUUGGAGAUGGUGCUGACUUUAGGUUUGAGGAUCACGAAUGCGUUGAACCAGAACCCCUUCAACAAUCGUAGGUAAUAUGAUGCAAUCUCAUGUGCGUCCCACACGAGUUUCCCGCAACAGGCCGCCAGCGUGAACUGCAGCCACACGUGCAAGAGGUGCACCGCAUCCCACACGAGUUUCCCGCAACAGGCCACCAGCCUGAACUGCAGCCACACGUGCCAGAGGUGCACCGCAUCCAGCACGACAGCGAGUAGAAGAUGAAGGCGGAAGGGAUAAGAAAAGAAGGUGUAUGAAGGACGGAAGAAAGUCCUGAAUGAUUGAUUUAUUUAUUUUUCAUUUUAAUUGAUUUUAGUGAUUUUUAAUUUUAAGAAAAUUUAAAUUU